GACUCUCCACCUUGGACAGAGAACACGGUGUCAGCCACAGUAUCACUUCCAGAUGUAGCCACAUUAUUGGAAUCACUUCUGAGAGGUUAGGGAAAGAACAGGACAAAGGUUUAAGAGGCAUUCGAGACCACAUAGCAUAUGUAUCUCUGGAUUUGUGGCCAGUGGGGAGCAUGAAAAGAAAUACAGAUUUGGAGUCAGCAAGUGUGGCUGUCACUGGAAGGAAUUGGCUCCCACGUCAUCCACAGAGGAAGAACAGUGACAAAUGAAAACUCAGCAACCAUCAAAACUGUCUGACAUGAGGUGAAGAGCUUUCUCUACUACAAGCUAACACUGUGCUGUGCUGCCUCUACACGGCCCCAAAAGCAAGGAAAUCAACUGACUAGGACCUGAACUGAAGCUCUAAACCAAUGGUUCUCAACCUUCCUAAUGCUGAGACUCUUGAAGACAGCGAUUCAUUUUCUGGUGACCUCCAGCCAUAAGAUUAUUUUCAUUGCUACUUCAUAACUGUAAUUUUGCUACUGUCAUGAACUGUAAUGUAAAUAUCUGAUAUGCAGGAUGUCUGCUACAAAAUCCCUAAAGGAGUGUGACUCACCCAUUGGCUGUCUCGGGUAAUCUGUUGUAAGAAUGGAAGGUGAGUCAUUUACCUGAAAACAUGAGAGAUACAUGUGUAAUAGGAUUGAGUUUGCUCUGUGUUUACAUUGAUGGUUGUGAUUUCUAUAUAGGGAUAAAAGGUUUAAAACUGACUAUAGAGCUGUUCAAAUCUUUAGUGUUUAUGAAUCUCUAAGCCCCCUAGAACCCUUACAAAGUGGAGGAUUAGUAUUCUGGAGCAGUGUGUCACAAACUCUCACACAGGUCAAUCCACCCACGACCACUUUCACUCCCUGAAGGUUGGUGUGUGGCUCUGCUGGCCAGGCUCCCUGUAGUUUACACCUCAAGAGACUGAUAGGAAUCUACUACACCCAACAUUACGGACAAUGAGUGAGUCCAGUUCUCAGAGCUGAGCAUACUUCAUUCCAGAUCUAAACAGUUUGCAAAUGGACACUGGUCUGAAAUCACAGUCUUAAUUAUAAACUGUUCUUGCUGUCACCGAGCUGACAGACUUUCCAUCAAAGCCAGGGCAAAUGGAAACAAAUUCACUACAGCACAAACAACCACAAAUAUACCUAGAAGACAUGAAUGAUUAGCUUAAAACGAAUUAAUAAUUAAUUAAUACAAAUUAGGAAUUUUUGAAAAGUGGUAAUUAGAGGAGGAUCAAGGAAAAAAGAAAAAAGGAAGAGAAGGAAGAAAGAAGAAAUGAAGGAAAA
rnacentral:lncRNA from 1 species